GCUGGGAGCAGUGGUGUGUGCCUGUAGUCCCAGUUACUCGGGAGGCUGAGACAAGAGGAUUGCUUGAGCCCAGGAGGUCGAGGCUGCAGUGAGCUGUGAUGGCAGCACUGCACUCAGCCUGGGCAACAGAGUGAGACCUUGUAUCAA
ensembl:misc_RNA Metazoa_SRP Metazoan signal recognition particle RNA